rnacentral:misc_RNA from 1 species
GAAAAAGUAACAUACUGCAUAAGCAUUUUCAGUACAACACAAGUCUUUAUACUCCAAAUGAAACUACUCGCAUGCAUAGAUCAGCUAGUAUGACUGUAAAUAACAAAGUGUCACAUAACCAUCAAAAAACAAAUUGCAAACCAAGCAAUAUCCUCAACAAGCCACCUACCAUACUAGAUAACAAAACACCAUAGUAUAUAGACGAAAUACACCACAAAACCAAUGACCAGAAGAAACACCUUAGAAGCACUUCCUGUGGACGAUGGCUGGACCAGAUUCAUCGAACUCCGCCUUCGAUAUCCACAUCUGUUGGAAAGUGCUCAAGGAAGCUAAGAUUGACCCUCCAAUCCAGACACUGUAC